AACGCACAUUGCGCCCGCCAGCAUUCUGGCGGGCAUGCCUGUUCGAGCGUCAUUUCAACCCUCGAGCUCCCCUUGGGGAGCCCGGCGUUGGGGACCGGCCGCUACCGCCGACCCCGAAAUACAGUGGCGGCCCCGUCACGGCGACCUCUGCGUAGUAAUCCAACCUCGCACCGGAAACCCGACCUGGCCACGCCGUAAAACACCCCACUUCUGAACGUUGACCUCGGAUCAGGUAGGAAUACCCGCUGAACUUAA
rnacentral:misc_RNA from 1 species